UUCAUCUUCACCAAAGUUGAGUUGAAAGAGAAAGAACCACACAUGGUAGCUUUCUGAAGCUCAAGGCCAGCCCCUUUUCAACACCAUUAAAUUCUUAAUCUUCAUCUUGAUUUGGAGAAAGAAUUAUGAAUAACCAUGACUGCCAAGCUCACGUCCAUGGCAGCCCUUAACCCACUUCAAGUGUUGCAAGAUAAAUUAAUUUCCUAAGGUGUUCUAGGCACUUAAAGGAGAAGCAAGGUUAGAGUUUAAGUUGAAGAAGAUGAAGUGGUGCAAAUGGUGCAAGUUAUUGUAGGGCUGUCCAAAUUAAAUUUGAGGCUUUGUCCGUUCGGAAGCACUUCAGAAGGAAAGAGCUUUGGCGUGAAAGUUCCUGACACCUGUUCGGCAUUGAGGUACUGAUAUACAGGACGACACAUCUGCUCAGUAGGACAACAUUCGUAUCAGCUUAUUGGUGAGCCCCAUCUCAUUCGGGGUUUAGUCAACUUUUGUUUUAUGAUUAGUUAUGCAUCUAAGGUAUGCUGGGGGCCUUGUCCCAGUAAGUAUGUUUUCCAAUCAGACUCCUGAUAGAGGUUUCAUAGACUAGACAAGUCAGUUAUGUUAUGUCAGACAUUCAGAGUCGUAUAGCUAUUUUGGCUCAUUCAUGUUAUUUCCGCACUCAUGUUUAAACAAGUAUUUUUAUUAAGUAUUAUGAC